AUUGAACGCUGGCGGAAUGCUUUACACAUGCAAGUCGGACGGCAGCACGGGGCAACCUGGUGGCGAGUGGCGAACGGGUGAGUAAUAUAUCGGAACGUGCCCAAUCGUGGGGGAUAACGUAGCGAAAGUUACGCUAAUACCGCAUACGAUCUACGGAUGAAAGCGGGGGAUCGCAAGACCUCGCGCGAAUGGAGCGGCCGAUAUCAGAUUAGGUAGUUGGUGGGGUAAAGGCUCACCAAGCCAACGAUCUGUAGCUGGUCUGAGAGGACGACCAGCCACACUGGAACUGAGACACGGUCCAGACUCCUACGGGAGGCAGCAGUGGGGAAUUUUGGACAAAGGGCGCAAGCCUGAUCCAGCCAUUCCGCGUGCAGGAUGAAGGCCUUCGGUUGUAAACUGCUUUGUUACGGAACGAAACGGUACUGCCCUAAUACGGCAGGCUAAUGACGGUACCGUAAGAAUAAG
rnacentral:rRNA from 1 species